rnacentral:rRNA from 1 species
UGGGGAAUAUUGGGCGAUGGGCGCAAGCCUGACCCAGCGACGCCGCGUGGGCGAUGAAGGCCUUCGGGUUGUAAAGCCCUGUCAUGCGGAAAGAACGACCCUGUGACGCAUACUCACAGGGAGUGACGGUACCGCAGGAGGAAGCACCGGCUAACUCCGUGCCAGCAGCCGCGGUAAUACGGAGGGUGCAAGCGUUGUUCGGAAUUAUUGGGCGUAAAGGGCGCGUAGGCGGUAAUGUAAGUCAGAUGUGAAAUACUCCGGCUCAACCAGAGAAUUGCAUCUGAAACUGCAUAACUAGAGUACAGAAGAGGGAAACGGAAUUCCCGGUGUAGAGGUGAAAUUCGUAGAUAUCGGGAGGAACACCAGUGGCGAAGGCGGUUUCCUGGUCUGAUACUGACGCUGAGGCGCGAAAGCGUGAGGGGCAAACAG